rnacentral:ncRNA from 1 species
UUCUUCGGGGUUGGGUGUAAUUCCCUACCGGCGGUAUAGUCCGCGACCCAUGAGCUUCCCAGUACAUAACAGAUGGAAGCAAAAUGGCUGAUUUGGUGUAAUUCCAAAACCGACAGUAAAGUCUGGAUGAGAGAAGAA